rfam:Chlorobium ferrooxidans DSM 13031 ctg31, whole genome shotgun sequence.
GGCGAUGUGGGUGAGUGGUCUAAGCCAAGGGUCUGCAAAACCCUUUAUCACAAGUUCGAAUCUUGUCAUCGCCU